rnacentral:lncRNA from 1 species
AGAUACAGUGCAUGACAGUGAGAGCAAGAAGAAGAAGAAAUGAGGCAACGAAGGCUGAGAAGCAAUGGAGCCGGAUGUUAGAUCACCAUGCAGGCUACAUCUUUAUGACAGCUUCAAAGAUAGACAGCCAGCUUCUUAGCAGGUGUACUCUUUAGACCACAUGGAAUGUCUGUACAGGCUCUACGGAGAAUCUGCCCAUUGAAACAGUGAAUCAGAGGAGAGGAAAUUUAUUUGCUGGCUUUUUCCCACCCUGGUCUUCCAUUUCCCUGAACUUCUCCAUGAGAGUUAACUUGCCUGCUGUUCUGGGCUGCACUGCCUUAGACUCAUUGGCAGCCAUGUGGAAGACACGGUGCUUCAUUCCAGUGAAUCCAGAGGCAUACGGAGGAGCCAGAGAACACAGAUAGUUGGCUUUGGGUAGUAGAUAUGCUGUAACAACAGCUGCAGUGGAACAGGCAGCCUAGAGUUGAAGAGACAGGUGACUAAAGAAUUUGAGUAUCAUAUAAGCCGUCUGAUAACAGCAAUCAUAGAGUUUAUCAUCAAAUCAGCACUGAAACUCUCUGACCUAGAAGUUGCAAAGGUAAAUCCAUCUUGGGGCCUGUGCAGGUCCUGUCAAAAGUGAAGUGGACCAUAUGGUGGGGGUGGGGGUGCAUUGCCAAUUACAAGAACUUAUUCUGCCUAGUGAAUGUCUCAAAGCAUAAUUCUGGUCUAUUAUUACCCUUUCAGACCUUUGUCUUGGUGUGGCCAGACCUUCUGAUCUUUGAUGAGAAACCGGAGAUCCAGAUGGUGUCAAUUCUCCUGAUUAAAUGCUGACAACUACAGAAUUUUUUUUUUUUUUGACGGACACAACAUCUUUGUUUGUAUGUGGUGCUGAGGAUCGAACCCGGGCCGCACGCAUGCCAGGUGAGCGCCCUACCGCUUGAGCCACAUCCCCAGCCCAACUACAGAAAUUUUUUAAAAUUUAAGAUACCAAUAGGCCAAGCCAGGUGUGGCAGCCUUUACCUAUAAUCCUAGCAACUACAGAGGCUGAGGCAGGAGGAACAUGAGUUAGAGACCAAUCUCAGUCACUUAUCAAGAAUCUAUCUCAAAAUAAAAUAGAAAGUACAGGGCUGGGGUUGUAGCUCAGUGGUAGAGCGCUUACCUCGCACGUCUGAGGCCCUAGGUUCAGUCCCCAGCACCACAUAAAAAUAAAUAAAUAAAAUAAAGAUAAAAAAAUAAACAAAUAAAAAUAAAGAUAUUG